ACGGAGGGGGUCAGUCGUUGGGAUGCGCAUGCGCAGACAGAGUGUGCGAGCGGCGGGCCUUGACCUUUUGGGGGAAAAAAACUCACGGACGGUGACAGCGAAACGGAUAACAGUCUUCAGUACCUGCUGGACUUUGAAGCUGUGGAUUCUGGGACUGUUAGAAAAGCUCCAACAAAAUGAGGAAGAGGAGAAACACAAUUAGGUUGAAUUACAAUUGGAUGGAAGGCGAGGACAAGGAGAAGGAAGCUUAGGAUGAGGAGGAAGAGAAGCAGCAGGAGCAUCUUUAGGGAUCCCUAUGAUGUCAUUGAGAGGCGGCGGCGAGAGGGGAGACCUCUGCUCAUCCAGCUGGAGAGCCUGACCAGGAGGAGUCGAACAUUAACUCAGCUCUUUCAGGGCACCCUGCAGACUCGGCUGUUGGCAUCGACGAGGGAUGACGUGAACGCCAAACUGGAGUCCAUCACAGGUCAACUGCAGCUCCUUGUCUCAGAGUGGGAGGGGUUUGAAGCACAAAGGGAGGAACUUGUCGUUUGGUUGGCUGAUAUGGAUGUGAGGUUGACCAGCUGACAGGAAACACCAGUGAAAAACUGAAACAACUGCAGCCAAUCGGUGAAGCUCUAGGCAGCUCUUGUCCCUCCUUAGUACCAGCUCCCAAGUUUUCAGUCUCUUGCUUCUACAGCCGAACAGAGCAGACGGACUAAAACUUUUGUUAUCGGGCAGAGCGAAACCGGAGGGUUUACUGAGCUGUGGCUCCAUGUAAAUGCUGAGCAUCCACUCGACGGCGGUCAGGUUUUUAUAUGGGACGAAUCCAAAGACCAGGUCAGCGAUUCCAGAACCCAGAGUGUUCCAGUGUUCACUGGAUGGCGAGCCAACCCAAGAUCCUAGGAGGCGAUAUACAUAUACACGCACGAUCAUUUGCACAUUGAUGGACUACAAUCCUCUACUGUACAAGUAGUACGGUAGGAC
ensembl:lncRNA